rnacentral:rRNA from 1 species
UACGGGGGGGGCAAGCGUUGUUCGGAAUUACUGGGCGUAAAGGGCUCGUAGGCGGCCAACUAAGUCAGACGUGAAAUCCCUCGGCUUAACCGGGGAACUGCGUCUGAUACUGGAUGGCUUGAGUUUGGGAGAGGGAUGCGGAAUUCCAGGUGUAGUGGUGAAAUGCGUAGAUAUCUGGAGGAACACCGGUGGCGAAGGCGGCAUCCUGGACCGGUAUUGACGCUGAGGAGCGAAAGCGUGGGGAGCAAACAGG